rnacentral:rRNA from 1 species
AAUGAACGCUGGCGGCAUGCCUAACACAUGCAAGUCGAACGAAGGCUUCGGCCUUAGUGGCGCACGGGUGCGUAACGCGUGGGAAUCUGCCCUUGGGUUCGGAAUAACUCGGAGAAAUCCGUGCUAAUACCGGAUGAUGACGUAAGUCCAAAGAUUUAUCGCCCAAGGAUGAGCCCGCGUAGGAUUAGCUAGUUGGUGGGGUAAAGGCCCACCAAGGCGACGAUCCUUAGCUGGUCUGAGAGGAUGAUCAGCCACACUGGGACUGAGACACGGCCCAGACUCCUACGGGAGGCAGCAGUGGGGAAUAUUGGACAAUGGGCGAAAGCCUGAUCCAGCAAUGCCGCGUGAGUGAUGAAGGCCUUAGGGUUGUAAAGCUCUUUUACCCGGGAUGAUAAUGACAGUACCGGGAGAAUAAGCUCCGGCUAACUUCGUGCCAGCAGCCGCGGUAAAAC